ensembl:lncRNA
GUGGAUUCCGUAUAACCUGGUUCAGUCUUGUUUAGACUAUUGAACAUUGUUUUAGCCUUGUGCACUGGACUCUACCUCUGUAUAGGAAAAUUUUCCUUAUUCAUUAAUUACUAUUGAUCUGUAUUAAUUGGUUAUGUUUCUUGCACUAAGGAUUUUUAAAACUACUGUAAGUGUAGGUUUUAGUUUUACCUUUGCAGAUGAAUCACUUGACUUAUAGAUAGAUCUUAGGUUCAUUUUAUUUUUCUACAUGAUGAUGAAGGCAACAUUUUUUGUUCUCUGCUUUGUUCUGUUUGCCAAAAGAAAAAACAAACAAAAAUACAAAACCAGUACAGUACUUAGUGAUAAAUCUUAGUGACUAUAAUUUGUUUGCAAAGUGAUUAAAUGCCCUACAAUUAAAACUGGAUGGCUACUUAGGAACACAUUGUCUUAGUGUAGUUUUUGAAUGCAGAGUUUUCCGUCAUUAAUUUCAAUGAAGAAAACUUCACAAUUUGUUGACUUUUUAGAUUUGACUUAAACAACAAAUAAAGUCAUUGGGACAAUAAUAGACAUCCUGAAGAAUUUUGUUUGCUUUUUUAACUGGGAGAGGGAAGGAAGUCAGAAGGUUAAAAGCAGACUGGGGAGUGAAGGGGAGAGUCUGUGAAGCUUGGAAGUGCAUGAGAGGACCCUGGGGCUCAGCCUUGCCUGGAACUGUCUGUCCCUCCAGACUGGCUUUCCGGCCUUCUUUCUCUUUCUCUUGGUCUUUGGUGGGGCCAUCUCCACCUUACGGUUUCUCUGGUUCUGGGGAUCUCACUGCUUUGCUGCAAAGCAGAAGUUUGGGAGAGAGCUGUUUUGACUUUUCCUGCUGUUUUUGGUAACUUCUCACCUGGGGCCAUAUUUUACGACCUUGAAUUUUUUAGAAAUAUUCUUGGUUCAUUAUAGGUAUUUAGUAAGUGUUAAAUAAAUACAUAGAACAGACAGUGCUUGCCUUCCUGCCGCAGUUUUGGGUUGUCAUGUUAAGAUAAAACAAGUUUUAUGAGUGCCAAGUGAACUAAUUCUUUGUAAGAGCAGUAAGAAAAAUGCAUUAGCCACGUGAGUCCUGAGUGAUUGGAACAGUAUGAGACCUACUUAGAAACUUUGCUCAGUCCAGGUGGUUGUGCAGUAGAAACCUAAUAGAGCACAUCACCUUUAUGGGAUGCUCUAUUUUACCCUAAAUCACUCUUGCCCUGAAGUACUUGAGCCAGCAUUUCAAGACUUCGGAUGGAUCUUAUAAUUAUAAACAUGGACUAUUUUCUGAAAAGCCAACCAACCAUAGGGAGCUCCUGGUUGAAAACAAGAAGGAAGUAAGAAACAUGCCCAUACUCUGAGGUAGAAAAGUAUAGUUCACUUGUGCUCCUUAUUUUAAGCUAUGUGGUCUUCAGGCCAUGUCCCACAGACAACUUCACUAAGGUAAUGAUUUGCUGUUACUGAGUGCAGGGCCUUACUAGAAAACUUGUACCCAAAAUCAGAUUGCUCCCACAGGUGCCCAGCAGGCCCAAUGGAGACGAGCAGGCACCUGAGUGCACUUGCAUUGGCAAAGCUGGUGAUCUGCACUUCAUCCUGACGUCCUCCCGGUUUUUCCUAUAAGGUUUUCUUACUAAGUUUCUGUGGUGGAAAGGUUUCUUUGUGCUGCUUUCCAUUAGAAACUCCCUUCAGGAGUUCAGUGAUCAAUGCCAAAAUCAUCUGCUUUCAUUGUUGAGUGAAAGAAUCGUUAGAGGCUGCUGACUCUACGUCGCUACAAGUCUGUGUGUUGGCUGCAAGUGUCCAGGUGAGGAUCUCGUCCUGACUGCUGUGUGUAAUUUAUAGAGCUUUAUAGAAUGAACCUGUUACAGAAAUGGACUCAAACAUGGUGUCUGAUCAAAAGGCGUUCGUAUUUUACAGGUCUCAAGACCUUCUUGUAUCCUUAGUGAUUUGGUUUGGGGUAGGGGACUUUAUUUCUUUUAAGAACUUUUGUUUAUAUAAAUAAAUUAUUUCAAAUGUGGGAUAAAAGUAUGUUAUUCCAAAAUAAAUACAUUUGGACAAAAAUAUUAAAUGUAAUGAACCUUAUGUGUAAUAA